UUUCGUCGAUUCGAUUGCUCCGAACGUACGCAAUCCGAUCGGCGUCCAACGACCGGAUCCGCUGUUCCGUUCGAAAGUCGGAAGAGUGGCGAUUCCGGCGAGAUGAGAGCUCCAGCUUCCCGAUCGUCCUCCGGGAUGGGGUUCCUCGAAGAUUUCCAACCCAGAGUUGAAUCUGUACCUUCUAUGCUUCAACGCAAUUAUGCUCUAAAUUUUAGAGAAGCACCACAUGCUUUUGUUAGAAGGGGCUGAAGGCACUGUAUGGUGAUUCAAUCGAUGGGAUUCAGGCACUCAGAACUGUUUCACACAAACCAUAUAAACCAUAAUUUGUGAUCAUGGUUUACAGCUGAACCACCAGCCGUCAAGCUGGAGUUGCCUGUGGAUCCAAAUGAGCCCUGAUACUGUAUGUAACCAAGUUAGCUUCGGCAACAUGGUUGCUCCUGACAACCCCGGUGUAUGCUAUACCGUCUUUGGUCUGAGCUUGUCGUGCAAAUUCUUUUACUGCAGUGCAAGAUAGAAUGGUUCCAUUUUAGUGUGUUGAAGAGCAUCCUAAGGGCAAAUGUUAUUGUUCCAACCGCAUCUGCUACUUUCGUCACACCGAAACAUCUCGAGAUCAUGAAUGGAUAACUUAUCUGAAUCAUUCAGAGACAACUUAGUUUCUGUUUCAAUCUGUGAACUUACUAUCUUUUUAGUAUUCUUCAGAAUCUUUGUAAAUUAUAGGACAUGGAUUGCAAGAUGAUCAGAUGACCAUGCUCUUUAUGUUCCCUUUUGAGAGCAAUUAAAGGCAACAAUAAGUUCACUAUCUGUAUCUAAAUGUAUGAUUUUUUUUAAAAGUUGUUUAAUGUUUAAUUUUUCUGGAUUAUGCA